rnacentral:rRNA from 1 species
UGAAUACGAGAUGCUACGGCGUCGAAGCAGUGUAUGUCAGACUUCCAAGAAAAGCUCGCAAUGUCAUAAAUAAAGAAUGCCUGUACCAUAACCGACACAGGUGGGUAGGUAGAGUAUACUAAGGGGCGCGAGAUAACUCUCUCUAAGGAACUCGGCAAAAUAACUCCGUAACUUCGGGAGAAGGAGUGCCUUCUUUAAGAAGGUUGCAAUAACAAGAUCCAAGCAACUGUUUAUCAAAAACACAGGUCUCCGCUAAGUCGUAAGACGAUGUAUGGGGGCUGACGCCUGCCCAGUGCCAGAAGGUUAAAGAAGUUGGUUAGCUUUUGCGAAGCUGAUGACUGAAGCCCUGGUGAACGGCGGCCGUAACAAUAACGGUCCUAAGGUAGCGAAAUUCCUUGUCGGGUAAGUUCCGACCCGCACGAAAGGCGUAAUGAUUUGGAUACUGUCUCGGAGAGGGACUCGGUGAAAUAGACUUGUCUGUGAAGAUGCGGACUACCUGCACCAGGACAGAAAGACCCUAUGAAGCUUUACUGUAACUUGAAAUUGAAAUUGGACUUUAUUUGCGCAGUAUAGGUGGAAGGCGUUGAAAGUAAUCUUGCGGGAUUAGUGGAGCCAUCAGUGAGAUACCACUCCUAUAAUGUUAGAUUUCUAACUUUGGAUCAUGAUCUGGUCAAAGAACAGUUUCAGGCGGGCAGUUUGACUGGGGCGGUCGCCUCCCAAAUGGUAACGGAGGCGUACAAAGGUUUCCUCUGAACGGGUAGAAAUCGUAUCUAGAGUGUAAAGGCAUAAGGAAGCUUGACUGUGAGACCUACAAGUCGAGCAGGGACGAAAGUCGGUCUUAGUGAUCUGACGGUGCUGAGUGGAAAGGCCGUCACUCAACGGAUAAAAGUUACUCUAGGAUAACAGGCUGAUCUCCCCCAAGAGUUCACAUCGACGGGGAGGUUUGGCACCUCGAUGUCGGCUCAUCGCAUCCUGGGGCGGUAGUACGUCCCAAGGGUCGGGCUGUUCGCCCAUGAAAGCGGUACGCGAGCUGGGUUCAGAACGUCGUGAGGCAGUUCGGUCCAUAUCCGGUGUAGGCGUUAGAAUAUUGAGAGGAGCCUUCUUUAGUACGAGAGGACCGAGAAGGACAUACCUCUGGUGUACCAGUUAUCGUGCCAACGGUAAACGCUGGGUAGCUAUGUAUGGAGAGGAUAACCGCUGAAAGCAUCUAAGUGGGAAGCCCACCUCAAGAUGAGCAUUC